rnacentral:rRNA from 1 species
UGACGUCAAGUCCUCAUGGCCCUUACGUUCCAGGGCUACACUACGUACUACAAUGGUCGGUACAGUAAGGCUGCAAUACCGCGAGGUGGAGCUAAUCCCAAAAACCGGCCUCAGAUCGGAGUCUGCAACUCGACUCCGUGAAGGUGGAAUUGCUAGUAAUCGCAGAUCAGNACGC